CCUUUCCCUUGCUUUAGCUAACCGGAAUAACUUUCUGUCCCCGUCUUUCUCCCCUAAUUCCUCGUAUAUGCGACCAAACGCCGCGUUUUUGGCUUCCGUAACCCCCAUCUUUGCUUCUUUCCUCGCCGCCUUGUAGAUCUCCCUGUUCGCACUCCGUUCUUCCUCGCUUGUGCUCCCUGCCAUCAUAGCAAACGUCGCCUUCUUCACCUCCACUUUUCCUUGGACUACCUUGUUCCACCACCAGUCACCCUGAUGUCUGCCUGAAUAGCCCUUGGCUACCUCGAGC
rnacentral:lncRNA from 1 species